AUUGAACGCUGGCGGCAGGCCUAACACAUGCAAGUCGAGCGGUAGAGAGAAGCUUGCUUCUCUUGAGAGCGGCGGACGGGUGAGUAAUGCCUAGGAAUCUGCCUGGUAGUGGGGGAUAACGUUCGGAAACGGACGCUAAUACCGCAUACGUCCUACGGGAGAAAGCAGGGGACCUUCGGGCCUUGCGCUAUCAGAUGAGCCUAGGUCGGAUUAGCUAGUUGGUGAGGUAAUGGCUCACCAAGGCGACGAUCCGUAACUGGUCUGAGAGGAUGAUCAGUCACACUGGAACUGAGACACGGUCCAGACUCCUACGGGAGGCAGCAGUGGGGAAUAUUGGACAAUGGGCGAAAGCCUGAUCCAGCCAUGCCGCGUGUGUGAAGAAGGUCUUCGGAUUGUAAAGCACUUUAAGUUGGGAGGAAGGGCAGUAAAUUAAUACUUUGCUGUUUUGACGUACCGACAGAAU
rnacentral:rRNA from 1 species